UACAGAGGUCUCGAGCGUUAGGCGGAAUCACUGGGCUUAAAGCGUGUGUAGGCGGAUCGGUAAGUACCUUGUGAAAUCCCACAGCUUAACUGUGGAACUGCUCGGUAUACUGCCAGUCUUGAGCCAGCUAGGGGCUACCGGAACAAAUGGUGGAGCGGUGAAAUGCGUAGAUAUCAUUUGGAACGCCAAUGGUGAAAACAGGUAGCUGGGGCUGUGCUGACGCUGAGACACGAAAGCCAGGGGAGCAAACGGGG
rnacentral:rRNA from 1 species